UGGGGAAUUUUGGACAAUGGGCGAAAGCCUGAUCCAGCCAUGCCGCGUGAGUGAAGAAGGCCUUCGGGUUGUAAAGCUCUUUUAGUCGGAAAGAAAGAGUUGCAAUGAAUAAUUGUGAUUUAUGACGGUACCGACAGAAAAAGCACCGGCUAACUACGUGCCAGCAGCCGCGGUAAUACGUCGGGUGCGAGCGUUAAUCGGAAUUACUGGGCGUAAAGGGUGCGCAGGCGGUCUUGCAAGUCAGAUGUGAAAGCCCCGGGCUUAACCUGGGAAAUGCGUUUGAAACUACAAGACUAGAGUGCAGCAGAGGGGAGUGGAAUUCCAUGUGUAGCAGUGAAAUGCGUAUAGAUGUGGAAGAACACCGAUGGCGAAGGCAGCUCCCUGGGUUGACACAGACGCUCAUGCACGAAAGCGUGGGGAGCAAACA
rnacentral:rRNA from 1 species